ACUACGGGAGGCAGCAGUGAGGAAUAUUGGUCAAUGGUCGGGAGACUGAACCAGCCAAGCCGCGUGAGGGAUGAAGGUACAGAGUAUCGUAAACCUCUUUUGUCAGGGAACAAAGGCUGGGACGUGUCCCCGGCUGAGUGUACCUGAAGAAAAAGCAUCGGCUAACUCCGUGCCAGCAGCCGCGGUAAUACGGAGGCUGCGAGCGUUAUCCGGAUUUAUUGGGUUUAAAGGGUGCGCGGGCGGUCUGUUAAGUCAGCGGUCAAAGCCCGGGGCUCAACCCCGGCCCGCCGUUGAAACUGGCAGUCUCGAGUUGGAGAGAAGUAUGCGGAAUGAGCGGUGUAGCGGUGAAAUGCAUAGAUAGCGCGCAGAACUCCGAUUGCGAAGGCAGCAUGCCGGCUCCACACUGACGCUGAGGCACGAAAGCGUGGGUAUCGAACAGGAUUAGAUACCCGUGUAGUC
rnacentral:rRNA from 1 species